AUGGCCCAUGUUUUGGCUAGUGGUAUGGUGACAUUUGGCCAGGUGGCAUGUUGUUUGAUGUUAUCUUUUUUUUAAUGUUUGUUUAUUUUUGAGAGAGAGUGAGCUCGCUUGUGAGAGUGGUGGAGGGACAAAGAGAAAGCGGGAGAGAGAGAAUCCCAAUCUGUGCUUUGUCAGCACAGAGACUGAUGUUGGGCUCAAACUCACAAACUGUGAGAUCAUGACCUGAGCUGAAAUCAAGAAUCUGAUGCUUAACCAACUGAGCCACCCAGGUGCCCCAAGGGAAGAGUUUUAGAGUGUCAUUGUUGAUCUCUUCUCUUUGGGUCUUGUGUGGUAUAUGGUGAAGUUUCCCCUGGUGUUCUUUUCUCUAUUUGAGAUACUUAAGUAGGAGAGGCAGAAAAAUCAUUAAAUUUCACAGGUAUACAAAAUUUCCUCAGUGGAUUUUGUAAAACCAAUUAUUAGGAGAUAAAAUGUGCUCUGCUGUAUCACUCACAAACUGUAUCACAUUUGUCUCUGAGUACAAAGCACAUUUGCAUAUCCUUAUCUGUAUGUACACUUAGGGAAAGAGUUCAGGAGUUAUGAGUCACAUUUCUCCUUAGACCACAUUUUUUUUUAAAGGGGGUACUGAAGUUAAGCCUGCUUGGACAAAACUGUUAGAACCAAAGGAGGUGGUCAUGGCUAAGUUGGCAUGACUAGUAUACAGUAGAAGUGUUAUUUUCAUCAGGACACUUAGGGGCAGUUGCCCCUCUAACCACAAAAGCACAAGGCAAGCCAGGAUAUAUUACUCUUGUAUUCUUACUGGAUGCCAAGGCAAACUCUUCCACACUUUAGUUUUUUUAUCCAUUAAUUGGGAACACUUUUACUUGCCAUUCAUUCUAAAAUGUGGGUGAAAUAAAUAUAUAAUAGGACCUAUAGAUUGUAAGAGAAGGUACUUCUUAAAUGAUAGAUAUGAAGUAAAUGAAAUUGGUCAAAUAAGAGAGACCUGGUGAAAUCUCUAUUAUUGCCUUACCAUUAAAAGUCUUAAAAGCAUCUUUGUAUCUUAGAUUUGAGUUUCACAUUGUGAGUGUUGUAAUAGAAUAUCUUCUCUAUCGUGGUAAUAUUAUCCAUUGUCCCUGUGGAAGCUCAGAUUCCUUGUCAGAAAGAGAAUGACUUUCACAAGUCCGCUUUACAAGUAUUGAUUUACAGAUCUUUUGGGCACAUUAGUGGUUAUGUGAUUUCUUUUUAAACUAGUUUUCCAAUUUCUUAGCUGAGCCAAUAAGCUGUUACUGGGAGUGUUUGCCUCAGUGUGCAUGAGGGAGGUGCAAGUAAGAAUAUGGGCUGUAUCUUUUCACUGCUUCAACCUAGGAGGCUUGUCUUGUUUUGGCCUGGACUUGAAGGUUCAGUGGGUCCUCUGAAAUUUGGAGUUGGCUUCGCUUGCAUCUGUGGUGUCACAUGCUGCGGGUACUUUAGACAUCUAGAGUAGCUGUGGGAAUGCUCACAAGAGCUGGUCUUUUUCCAUUAUGGAUUCGGAGUGGUAUUAGGGCUCUUGAGAAAAGAGAGUUUGAAGUUGGUCUUAGAAUGUCUUUCAGAAGCCCCUUGGGCUGGAUUGAGUGAGGUGGUUUGUUUCUAGAUUGGCAAGCACCGAUAGAAUCCUCCAUUCCCUAGGCCUUCCCUAGGCCUAGUUGGAAGAACAACCAGCAUAGCUUCUGGGGGUUUUAGGGAAUGUUUAUGCCUAGGCACCAACUCUAUAGAGUAUUUUCCUUUUCCUGCCAUUCAUAGGGCAGUUGUCUGGUUAGAAAGCCUGCUGGACCUGUACUCCCUUUUUCCUUUUUACAAACCAGAGAAUAGCUGUAGUCACAGCUCAGGUUGCCGCUUAGGCUGACCUAAACCUGGCCUCUACCUUGGGUAGAGAAGUAGAGUAGAAGAGCAGUAGAGAAGGCCAGUAAAUGACGAUAAAUGGUUUCUUAGCUUGUGUAUCUUCUAGAAAACAGUUUGUGAAAGCAUUCCAUUUGAUAUCCAAUUACAUCUUAACAUCAUAAGCUGUUUUCUCUUUAAAGCUGUGCUGUUCAGUAACCACUAGUUGAAUGUGGCUAUUUAAGUUAAAAUUGAAUAAAAUUUUAAAUUCCCUUUCUUAGUUUUAUUAGCCACAUUUCUUGUCACACUAGUCACGUGAUUAGCGGCUUUCGUAUUAGACAAGGCAGAUAUAGAACAUUUUCAGCACCAUAGAAAGUUCUAUUAGCUAACACUAAAAUUUUUUUAAUUUUUUUAAUGUUUUUAUUUAUUUUUGAAGGAGAGAGAGACAGAGCAUGAGCAGGAGAGGAGCAGAGAGAGAGGGACACACAGAAUUUGAAGCAGGCUCCAGUCUCUAAGCUGUCAGCACAGAGCCCAGUGUGGGGCUCAAACUCACAAACUGUGAGAUCAUGACCUGAGCCGAAGUCAGACGCUUAACCGACGGAGCCACCCAGGUGCCCCAGCUAACACUAUUUUAAAGAGAAAAUUGCCUGUGAUAUUUCUAGUAUUAAUAUCUGUGUGGUUUCUCCUUAUUCAUUUAAUUAAACUGAAUUCUUUUGUCCUCUACCAAAUUAUUUUAAUAUGCCCCUUUUCUUCACUAUUUCAAGGGCCUGUUAGUUUUCUUCUGUUAGUUGUUCUCCUUUAAAGAUUUUUACCUUUUAAUCUGCUCACUUCUUCCUGUAGGGAAUUGCUUCCUGAUGCCUUCCUGCCGUUUGUUUCCCACAAUUUUAGGUCUUAGUCAAUACCUAUUGAGAAAACUAACUGGAGACAUUAAUUUUACAGACUUCGUUAUUAUUUUUUUAAUUUUAAUUUUUAAAAAAAUAUUUAUUUAUUUUGAGAGAGGGAGAGAGAAUGAGUGCAUGCAUGGGGGAGGGGGAGAGAGAGAAUCCCAAGUGGGCCCUGUGCUUUUUCCCAUGAACUGUGAGAUCAUGAGCUGAGCCAAAAUCAAGAGUCAGAUGUUUAACUGACUGAGCCACCCAGGUGCCCCUGGAGUCAUUAACUCUAAAAUGACUUUAGAUGAUUGGAUUAUGUAUGAUAAUAAUUUUUGGCCUUAUUUUUUUUGUGUGAUUUCUAAACUUUAUGUAAUAAACGUGUUACAGAAAAGACCAGUGAAUAUUGUUUUAAAAAAUAUAUAUUUAAAAAUACAUAUCAACUCUACUCAAUUGUAUACCUUAAAGGAGUGAACCUUACAAAUUUUGUAUUGUAAUAAAGCUGUAAAAAAAGAACAGCUUUGUUUUUGAAUGGAUGAAGACAUGGGGGACUAAAGUUUUGCUCUACCCAUUACCUUUCUUGGUUCUAGAGUUGCGUAUUUCUUUUUACUGGUAGCAAAUGUGGUGAAUGGGGAAUGUUCUAGACACUCAUGGUGAGUGGAUGAUGAAGCAUAGCUGACAAAGUAGUAUUGAAAAUGACACAUUUAUUUAUUUGUUUAAAAAAAAUUUUUUUUAAUGUUUUAUUUAUUUUUGAGACAGAGAGAGACAGAACAUGAACAGGGGAGGGGCACAGAGAGAGGGAGACACAGAAUCUGAAGCAGGCUCCAGGCUCUGAGCUGUCAGCACAGAGCCCGACGCGGGGCUCGAACUCACAAACUGUGUGAUCACGACCUGAGCUGAAGUCGGACACUUAACUGACUGAGCCACCCAAGCGCCCCAAUUUAUUUAUUUGUUAAAUAUUUAUGUAGAUCCUUUUAGAUAGUAAAGUGUUUUAAGAUAUACUCAAGGUGAGAAUCUCUGAGUUUAGGUGCAGCUUCACACAUUUUCUGGUCCUGAAUACUGUUUUUCCCUUUUUCUUUUUCGGAGCAAUGGUCCAGAUAAACCCACUCUUCAUUCACCCUUUCAGCCCUCGUAGUGCUUCUAAGUUCUGUGAACAUGACACUAGGUAAUAUCCAUAGAAUGUUUUGGCCAAAAAAUUUUUAGAACUGUGAUGUGGAUCUUAGUAGUUACACUGUAAAUUGCCUUGUAUGUAUUUUUUAGUGGCCUGAUACAGAUAAAGGUAGAUACGAAGGGAGUGAUGUUUUCAAACUUGAUUCCUACCAGAGGAAUACCUGUUCCUCUUUUUGUGGACUAACUCUUCCAAAUGACAGCUUGCCUCUCAAAACCUUACUGUGAGCAAGAUUUCCCCCAGGUCACAUUGUGGGUAUAAUUAGCUUAUGACUUGUCCCUGAGGAAAUUUAGACUGCUUAUUGUGCUUAGACAUAAAAAGGUGUUUUUUCUUUACAGUUGUUCUUCAAAAUAUUUUGUGUGUGUCUUGAGUUUCCUUUCGUUCCUCCUUUCAUAGGUGAGAUAGAGAUUCUUUGUUGCAGUUUCUUUCUUUCUUUCUUUCUUUCUUUCUUUCUUUCUUUCUUUCACUACAGCAAACACAAAAGGCUUAGGACAUCAGUUGUCCUUUACUUCUUCUCUCCUCACUGACCUUUUCCUGUCUCCUGUUUAAAAACAACAAAUGGCUUCAAGGUUUACAGAGCUGCUUUAUUCUUCCGUUUCUUUGUAUUACCAUACCUGUCAAACCACACUGCACUCUGCUGUUUGUAAUUCCACCCAUCUUUUGCCACUUUAGUUUCCUCCAGAAUGCAACCACUAGUAGUAGUUCAGGGUGAUGUUUCAAAGGAAAAUCAGCGUAUGCCACUCCCUUCUUCAUAAUCUUCCCAGUUCAUUCAUUUAGCAAAUGCUUAUAGACUAGCUGGUGUGUGUCACAAACAGAAUCCUUGAUUUCAUAAAGUAUACAUUCUAGUGGGUGAAGAUUAGUGACACUAUCAAAUAACUGUUCAUCAUACUUAGAGUAAAACCCCUUUUCAUGCCUUAGGAAAGACUUUAGGAUGUGACCUCUUCCUGUGUCUUUGACCUUCUCUUCUGUCAUUCUCCACCAUGCUCACUUGGCUCUGGGGAAGCUGGGCCUUAGACAAGGUCAUCUCCGCCUUUGGGCUUUUGCACUUAUACCUGGGAUGCCUUGUCCCACAUCAUCAAAUGGCUGGCUCCUGGGUAUCAUUCAGAUCUCAGUUAACCCACCACCUUGGAAAGCUCUCAUAACCUGCCUAGUCAUUCUGGGAGUUUAUAAAUCUUCACAACUCGUUACUAUCAUCUGAAAUAAUCUUGUUCAUUUAUUAGUUACUUUAUAGGUGCUCAAUAAGUACAUUUGUCACAUAAACAGUACCUUUUUAUUUAUAAUGUUUAUUGAAUGAAAAUCUGUUAUACACAGUUCUUUCAUUCAGCAAAUACUUAGUAUUUCUAUGUGCCAAGCACUGCUAUAGGUGCUGAGGAAGGAGUAGCAAACAAGUUGACAAAAUUAACUCUCUCCUAGAGUAUACAUUGUGGUGGAGGGAGAAAGAUAAUAAACCAAUAUAUUUAUAAUAAAUAGGUAAUGAGUGAGUACCACGAUGAAAAAUAAAGCAUAGUGAGGGAAUUGAGAAUGUUGGCAGAAGGGCACUUUUGGAUAGGGCGGUCAGAGAAGGCCUCUGGGGAAGCCAUGUUUUAGCUGAUGCCUGAAUGAAAUAAACCUAACUAAUUGAGCAUUUACUGCGUGUCACAAUAACCAUCAGAGGCAGGUACUGAGAUCCCUUUCCCAGAAAGGAAAAUCAAGGCCCAGUGAGGUGAAGGCAUUUUGUAAGGCUACACAGUUUAGAGGUAGGUGGAGCUGGGAUUUGUCUCAUGAUUUAUGAUUAUCUGACACCAGAACGAUUUCUCUGUUUAAACUUGGUGUUCCCCGAGCCCUGGCUGGUUCUCAUAGUUGACAAAUAAUAUUUAAUGUUUAUAUUUUGUCAUAUUAGAAUUACAGAAUGCUGCUCUAUUACCAAAUCAUAGAUAGUAAGAAAUUUAAUACCACAAUGGCUAUAAGUGCCAGUUCUGGAGCCAGUUAGCCAGGAUUUUGAUCCCGAUUCUAUCCUUUACCAUUUAUUGAUUUGGGCAAAUUAUUUAACCUCUCUAAUGCUUUAAUUUUCUCAUUUGCAAAAUAGGCCUAAUGUCCCUACCCCUCAUUAAUUAUGAGAAUUAAAUGAUAUUAAUACAAGUAAAUGCUUACGUAGCACAUAGAAAACACUUAAAAAUAAUAGCUGUUACUACUAUUACUAUUGCUAUCUUUAUUGCCAGUCCAACUUCUCUGGUCUCUCCCCAGUACCCCUCCAAAGUCUGCUUUCUUUCUGCAGUCAGGGCAACUUUGUUGAUAUUACGAUUUCCUCAGUGGGACUAUCAUAAGGUGUUGGAUUCACUUUAGACACAGAUCCUGCCAAACCCCAAGCUUAAUAGUCUAGAAAGUCAAAACAAAAUAUUUUGGUUCUCUGAAGCAGUGGCUGGAUCAGGAUCCUGUUUCUACAUCCUGCCAGCUUAUAUGAACGGAAGAGAUGGUGCAGGCCCCGCCUGCAAACCACAACUUUGUUUUGAGCCAAUUUGACUUGACAGCUUCCCUAUUCUACCUGCUGACUUCUUUAGCUCUGGUUUGGCAGCCAGAAGAGCAACUAAACCGGUUUACAGCUAGUCAUUUAUUACCAAUAAAAGCUAAGUGACUCCUAAGAAAAUGAGGAUUUAAAUGGGGUUGAUAUUUUUUCUCUUGUCUCUUUAAGCUUUCUUUUUUAUGUCUCAAACUAUAGAAAAAUUCUAUUCUACUCUUACAGGAGAAACCUGAUAAUACAUUUAAGGCCUGUCAUGAAACAUUUGGAUUUGUGUGUGUGUGUGUGUGUGUGUGUGUGUGUGUGUGUAUGUUAAUUCUCUCCUUUAAUAAGUACCAAGACUCUACUGUCUCAUUUUAGUUGGAAAUCUACAAAUAUAUUAACAUGUUUCUGUUCUUUCUUAAGAGUAUGUAAAACACAGAUUAACUUCUUUUCAAAUGUGGAUCAUCAUGAUGAAUGAGAUCCUCAUGGUUAACAACAGGGCUUGAGCUGAAGAGUGUAGACUGGUAUGUGUUGCAUAUUUUUAAACUAAUGUGUUUGCUUUUUUAGUUUUGUUUUUGUUUUAUUUCCCCCAUUGCUUCAAUAUGCCUUCUUUCUGCUUUACUGCUUUGAUUAGACCAUGGGCUAAAAACCAGACAAUCAAAUAUGUUAGGAGUGAAUGGCUCUGUAUUAUGAAGGCUAAGAGGAAUGGACAGUAUCAUUUGAAUACGGGAGAUUCACAGCCGGAGUGUUUUAGGGCUAGAAAGAAACAUUUUACCUACUUCUUCGUCUGGGUUGUACUCCAAGGAUGGGGUCGCUGGUGAGUUAGGGUAGAGGGUUAAUCUUCUAAAGUCUUAAGGAGUCAAAAACCCUUUUGAAGAUGCAGUUCGAGAUACAAGUCAAAUUUUGCGUUUGGUUGGAGAAUUAUGAAUUGGUAAGUAAAGCCCUAUAUCUAUUGCUUGGUUAAAUUUGUUUUGAUUACAUCUAGGCAAGUCACUUUUUUUCUCGUUUUUUAAAAGUGAAUACACCUUUUUUUUUUCUUUUUUUUUUUUUUGCCUUGCUGAUUUGUUAUGAAGAGAAACGAAAUGUUUGUAAAAUGUUUGAGCAUUUAUAUUCAUAGAAAUCAUACCAUCUUUGGGUAAUGUCAGUGAAACUAUGAAUUUGAUGAUAUAAUAUUUGUUGACCUGUGAUAGACUGUGAUAGAUACAUUAGUCAUCUUUUACAUUGUCUUCACAAGUAGGUUUUUUAAUUUUUUUAUUUUUUUUAUUUUUAUUAAAAAAAAUUUUUUUUUUUAACAUUUAUUUAUUUGAGAGACAGAGCAUGAACGGAGGGGGGGGUGCGGUCAGAGAGAGAGGGAGACACAGAAUCUGAAACAGGCUCCAGGCUCUGAGAUGUCAGCACUGAGCCCGACGUGGGGCUCAAACUCACCGACCGCGAGAUCAUGACCUGAGCCGAAGUCGGACGCUUAACCGACUGAGCCACCCAGGCACCCCUACAAGUAGGUUUUUUUAAAGUGUGUUUAUUUAUUUAUUUAAUUAGUUAUUGAGAGAGAGAGAGAGAGAGAGAGAGAGAAGGCCCCCGUGCUGUCAGCACAGCCUGACACAGGGCUUGAACUCCUGAACCAUGAAAUCAUGACCUAAGCUGAAGUCAAGAGUUGGAUGCUUAACUGAGUGAGCCACCCAGAUGCCCCACAAGUAGGUUUUUGUUUGUUUGUUUUGUUUUAUUGUUUAAUAAAAUUGUCUCCUCAAAACUUAAGUAUGUGGAAAGUAGUCUACAGAAUUUGUCGUCUCUGCCAUACACCAUUUUUGCUGUGGAUGAAAAUGAAUAAGCAACUCUGGAAACCAAGGUCCUUUGGGAACAUAAAAACUCUUGUAGCUAUUAAUGGAUUUAAUUGUAUUUCCUCUCUGUCACCAAAAUGUGCAAUAAAUUGUUUAUGCCCUUGUCUUUAAUGGGGAGAAGUGUUCAUUAACUGUAUGUAAUUAUCAUUAUCGCUUUGUUUUUAUUACUUGUAGAUAAUCCCCUUUAUCUUUCCUUUAAAAAAACUUAUAAAAAAAGGAUAGCUAUAAUACUAUUAAAUAUUACCCAUUAAUCUUUUUGGUGAGCUUUUUCUCUCCAUGGAGAAAAAGGAAAUUAUCAUUUCAUUGUGGGGGUGAAUUUGGGCUUGAAAUGGGACAUGAUCUCCUAAACUAAGAUUUGUCAUAAAAUUCGUUUGGCAUGCUUUGGACUUAGGCCAAGUGAUAUGUUUACUUAAGUUCAGCAAGGGCCUCGUUCUCAGGCAGCCUCACUGAUGAAUGAAUGCAUGUCUCAGUUGGUGAGGCUUCAUCUUAUUUGAGUCCAUUUAAGAUAACAUUUUUAGAAAAAUGUUUGGAAUGAUGGCUCUCUUUGGGUUUUGUUUUGUUUUGCUUUGCUUUGUUUUAUUUGAUGCUCAUUCAGGUAUUUCCUCCUAUUCUUAUCACUGUAGGAAAGUUAGCAAAUUGCUAUAAUCUGUUUAAAACCAUAUGCCAAAAAUGUUUUGACUUUAGAAUUUGGUUUCUUAUUUGGCUUUACUUCAUCAUGUGGAUUUGGAUAAGUCUCUUUAACUCUUCCUCUGCCUAAUAGUCAUUUAGUCAGCAAAUAACUGUCGAGUAUACAUCAUAUGCUGGUCACUAUUUCAGACACUGAGGAGAGAACAGUUAAUAAAAGAGACACAAUCUCAGCUCUUGUGGGGUUUACCUUCUAGGUGGGCAACAGACCAUAAGCAGAUGAAUGAGCAAAUGAUAGGGUAUGUCUGGUGGGGAAAAGUAAGGUAGGAAAGGGGGUUAAAUGGGGCAGAGAGAGAGUUAGUUUUAAAUAAGGUGUUCUAAAAGAUCUCAGAGAGGGGGAACAGUCCUUGUGGAGCACACAUUUAAGCAAGCCAGUAGAGGGGACAGCAAGAACUGGUAGGUUCCAGAAACAUCCAAGAGGCCAGUGCACUUGAGCCAAAUGAAAGAGGAGUGAGUAAGCAAAGGGGACCCAGAUCUUAUAGACCAUUGUAAGACUUAGCUUUGACUUUGAGUGAGAUGGGAAGCCAUUAGAGGUUUUGAGCCACAGAAGAGGCAUGAUGAUGACUUUCAUAUUAAAAUACCCACUGACCACUGUGUAUAGAAUAGCCUAUAAAGAAGGGUAGGGUGAAAGCAGGGAGUCUAGGUAGAGGUGUUGUGAUGAUGUCGUGGGAGCUAAUAUUGGCUUGGAACAGGUUGGUAGAGGUGGAGGAAAAGAGAAUUCAUCAGAUUCUAGGUAUAUUUUCAAGCCUAAAGGAUUUGCUUAUGGGUUGGAUUUGGGGUAUGAUGGAGCAAAAGGAUUCAAAGAUGACUUGAACAUUUCAUUAACUUCCUUGUGUUGGUUUUCUGAUUUUUAUAAAAAAAUUUACUAUUAUUGUCACCACUUUAUCUUGCUUAAGUGACAUUAUAUAAGAAUGAGAUCUGUAUAACUGAACUCGUCAAGGUUCUUGAGGGAGUUUGUUUCUCCUUUUUUAAAAAUUAUUUUUUUAAUGUUUUAUUUAUUCUUGAGAGAGAGAGAGAGAGACAGAGCAUGAGUGAGGGAGGGACAGGGAGAGAGCAGGACACAGAAUCCGAAGCAGGCUCCAGUCUCUGAGCUAUCAGCAGAGCCCAGUGCGGGGCUCAAACCCACAAGCGGUGAGAUCAUGACCUGAGACAAAGUCGGACGCUCAACCGGCCGAGUCACCCAGGCGCCCCUGUUUCUACUUUUGCCAUCUGCAAUUAAUUGGAAAUAAAUUCCCUUGGGAAUUUACUGGGUGAUGGAAUAAUCGAUAGACUGGCAACUGAUUGUGUUAAUAAGUUAGAUUAAUUUCUUUUAGUGCUUAGGCCAUGAUGAAGCUAUGAUGGAGCAGCUGAGUGUCAACAUCCCUGAUUUUUCUGCUGUCAUGCUUGCUUGGUGUGGUAUCUCCUCUGUGAUCCUUAUUUAUUUGAUGGGUUUUAAUGAGGGAGAUCUGUUGCAGAAGCUAUUGAUACCUAUAGCACAUGUUCUUUGUCACUAACCCAGUGAAGCUGAAAAGUCAAAAAUAUGUUUUUGGUUUUUGGUUUUUGGUUUUUUUAAUGAGUAAUGCUCAACAGCAGACAGCCUGUCUGUGCUUCCUGGGAGCUGCUCUGUAAGGAGGAAUCCUGCUGCAGAAUGAUCUAAUUUGUAUAAUCUUGAAGGUGGAGCUAUUUUUAAAAGAGAACAGGAAAAUAAUGGAGUCCUUUGCUUGUGAAUGCCAAACUGGAUCUUACUGAUUUAAAAGGAAAGAAGCUUAGUUAGAUCUUGUAGUUUGAACUCUUAUUUCCCUUUUAUUCUGUUUACCAUGUCUAGAUCAAAUUUAUGAUAGAUAUAUUUAGGUAACUGCUUUUGGAGUGGCACCUGGGCACCCCCUUUUUUUUUUUUUUUUUGACAUUUUAGGUAAGUAUAUUACUUAACUUGUGAUUUGGAUAAUGUGAGUCAUGUACAAGAGCAGAUACUAAA